UACGUAGGGUGCAAGCGUUAAUCGGAAUUACUGGGCGUAAAGCGUGCGCAGGCGGUUAUGUAAGACAGGUGUGAAAUCCCAGGGCUUAACCUUGGAACUGCAUUUGUGACUGCAUAGCUAGAGUACGGUAGAGGGGGAUGGAAUUCCGCGUGUAGCAGUGAAAUGCGUAGAUAUGCGGAGGAACACCGAUGGCGAAGGCAAUCCCCUGGACCUGUACUGACGCCCAUGCACGAAAGCGUGGGGAGCAAACAGG
rnacentral:rRNA from 1 species